rnacentral:tRNA from 1 species
ACGUUCGGGGUGUAGUGGUCAGCACGCUCGACGCGUAUUCGAGAGGUCCGUGGUUCGAGUCCCGGCGAAGGCA